rnacentral:rRNA from 1 species
GACGAACGCUGGCGGCGUGCUUAACAUAUGCAAGUCGAACGCUGAAGCUCAGCUUUUGUUGGGUGGAUGAGUGGCGAACGGGUGAGUAACACGUGAGUAACCUGCCCCCUUCUUUGGGAUAACGCCCGGAAACGGGUGCUAAUACUGGAUAUUCACUGGUCUUCGCAUGGGGGUUGGUGGAAAGGGUUUUUCUGGUGGGGGAUGGGCUCGCGGCCUAUCAGCUUGUUGGUGGGGUGAUGGCCUACCAAGGCUUUGACGGGUAGCCGGCCUGAGAGGGUGACCGGUCACAUUGGGACUGAGAUACGGCCCAGACUCCUACGGGAGGCAGCAGUGGGGAAUAUUGCACAAUGGGCGCAAGCCUGGUGCAGCGACGCCGCGUGAGGGAUGGAGGCCUUCGGGUUGUGAACCUCUUUCGCUCAUGGUCAAGCCGCAACAAUGGUUGUGGUGAGGGUAGUGGGUAAAGAAGCGCCGGCUAACUACGUG